rnacentral:rRNA from 1 species
GUGUCAGCAGCCGCGGUAAUACGUAGGUGGCAAGCGUUGUCCGGAAUUAUUGGGCGUAAAGGAUGUGUAGGCGGUCUUUUAAGUGGGAUGUGAAAUCCUCAGGCUUAACCUGAGAGUGGCAUUCCAUACUGGGAGACUAGAGUGCAGGAGAGGAAAGUGGAAUUCCCAGUGUAGCGGUGAAAUGCGUAGAGAUUGGGAGGAACACCAGUGGCGAAGGCGACUUUCUGGACUGUAACUGACGCUGAGGCAUGAAAGCGUGGGGAGCAAACAGGAUUAGAUACCCUGGUAGUCCACGCUGUAAACGAUGAGUACUAGGUGUAGGGUCUUCCAGGCUCUGUGCCGCAGUUAACACAUUAAGUACUCCGCCUGGGAAGUACGGUCGCAAGACUAAA